rnacentral:rRNA from 1 species
GAGCUAAUACAUGCUAAAAACCCCGACUUCGGGAGGGGUGUAUUUAUUAGAUAAAAAACCAAUGCCCUUCGGGGCUCUUUGGUGAUUCAUGAUAACUUAACGGAUCGCAUGGCCUUGCGCUGGCGACGGUUCAUUCAAAUUUCUGCCCUAUCAACUUUCGAUGGUAAGGUAUUGGCUUACCAUGGUUUCAACGGGUAACGGGGAAUUAGGGUUCGAUUCCGGAGAGGGAGCCUGAGAAACGGCUACCACAUCCAAGGAAGGCAGCAGGCGCGCAAAUUACCCAAUCCCGACUCGGGGAGGUAGUGACAAUAAAUACUGAUACAGGGCUCUUUUGGGUCUUGUAAUCGGAAUGAGUACAAUUUAAACCCCUUAACGAGGAACAAUUGGAGGGCAAGUCUGGUGCCAGCAGCCGCGGUAAUUCCAGCUCCAAUAGCGUAUAUUAAAGUUGUUGCAGUUAAAAAGCUCGUAGUUGAACCUUGGGCCUGGCUGGCCGGUCCGCCUCACCGCGUGUACUGGUCCGGCCGGGCCUUUCCUUCUGGAGAGCCGCAUGCCCUUCACUGGGUGUGUCGGGGAACCAGGACUUUUACUUUGAAAAAAUUAGAGUGUUCAAAGCAGGCCUUUGCUCGAAUACGUUAGCAUGGAAUAAUAGAAUAGGACGUGCGGUCCUAUUUUGUUGGUUUCUAGGACCGCCGUAAUGAUUAAUAGGGAUAGUCGGGGGCAUCAGUAUUCAAUUGUCAGAGGUGAAAUUCUUGGAUUUAUUGAAGACUAACUACUGCGAAAGCAUUUGCCAAGGAUGUUUUCAUUAAUCAGUGAACGAAAGUUAGGGGAUCGAAGACGAUCAGAUACCGUCGUAGUCUUAACCGUAAACUAUGCCGACUAGGGAUCGGGCGAUGUUUCUAUCUUGACUCGCUCGGCACCUUACGAG